rnacentral:rRNA from 1 species
UACGUAGGGUCCGAGCGUUGUCCGGAAUUACUGGGCGUAAAGCGUGCGCAGGCGGCUUCUUAGGCAUGACGUGAAAGCCCCGGGCUCAACCCGGGAGGGUCGUCGUGAACCGGGGGGCUUGAGGCCGGUAGAGGUGGGUGGAACUCCUGGUGGAGUGGUGAAAUGCGUAGAGAUCAGGAAGAACACCCGUGGCGAAGGCG